GACGAACGCUGGCGGCGUGCUUAACACGUGCAAGUCACGGGGGGCCCGCAAGGGCAACCGGCGAACGGGUGCGUAACACGUGAACAACCUGCCCUCGUGUGGGGGAUAGCCAUGCUAACGCGUGGGUAAUACCGCAUACGGUCCUUUGGGGGAGUCCCUGGGGGAAGAAAGCUCCGGCGCACGGGGAGGGGUUCGCGGCCUAUCAGCUA
rnacentral:rRNA from 1 species